GCCGGGAGUGGCGCAGAGACCACGCGGCCCGCAGAAGCUAUUUUCGACCCCCCCGCCAGGGACUAUUUCCUUGCUUCCCUCACAAAGGCUGCGGAGGGUUACCGACUGCGUCAGGGUGAGUCGUCCCGGGUCUAUAAAUAGGCCUCCCGCGGCGCUGCGGCAGGCAUUGAGGCAGCGAGCGCAGAGCAGGCAGCAGCGGCGGAGCUUGAGGAAGGCAGAUAAGUCUCUGCUCGAGAAAUGAGCUUAGCCAUUCUAAAUAGCGAAAAUAACCUAGAGAAGACUUAGGGCUUAGCUCUUUAAAAAGAUUUAAAAAACAUAAAAAGGUUGUGGAAGAGCGAAGUUAUGGAGGUUUUAGAGAGUAGCUUGGAAGCGGAGCAGAGAAGAAAAGCGAUUUUUCUAGUUCUUGACGGAGGUUGAGAUGAAAAUGCUUUAACGGAGGAUAUAGAAAAAGCUUAAAUUAAGGAAGUGGCUGAGAGGGGACUGUAAAGUCCUGGAAUUUAAAAAGGAAUUUAAACGGAAGAACAGGCCGGUAGCUAGCUCUGAAAUGUGAGGCAUAAAUAGAACAGAAACGGUAUUUUAGGAAGCCAGGCCGUAGGUAAAUUAAAUUUAAUAUUGAACGUAAAUUUGAAGGUGAUUUGAGAGACCUUCAGAUGGUCGCGCAGGGAAGAUGGCGUCCUCCGGGGCCCAGAGAAGGUCUGAUUGGCCUGGAAAAAAAUUCGAGGUACAGGGAGUGGUGGGAUUUAAAAAAAAACAUAUAAAUGGUUAAAAUAGAAGAAAGAAGAUAGAAAUUUGAAGUGGAAAAUGUUCGGAAGACAGAAGUACAGGAAGGUGAAGAAAAGAUGUAGAAGAUAGGAAACAAAUUAGAAGAUUUUUAAAAAGGCCUUUUAGAAGACAGGAAGCCCUUGUGAUUAGGAUGAAGAGAAUGUGUAGACCAGCUAGAAAACCGGCCUUUGAGGGCACAGCUGCAAAUUCGGUAGAAAAUGUAGAAGAUGAAGCGAGGUUCAAGAUGGCCGCCAAGUCCCUCAGAUAGAAAGUGAAAGUCCAGCUAGGACAAAGAUUCCAGGGGCGUUAGAAGAUAGACGCCAGAAGCCUGCAAGGUAGACGAGUUGGCAGCCGGUUAGUGCAGGAAGACGAAGGCAGCGCUUUGAUAAAGGGCCGAGGAGUCAGACGCCUCCCGACUUGCUCGCUCGUGGCCUAGGAGCAGGUCUGAGAAGAGAAGGGAGUCGUAGCUACCGUAGGCCGAGGUCGACCUAGAAGAGCCGAAGCUAGAAGGAAAGCGCUUAGGAGCCACAGGAAGGAAGCUGGUGGAAGGUUCUGAAGGAAUGGAGAUUUAGGUAGAAGAUUUUAGGCCAAGAUCGCCCUAGACAUCUGCAGCUAGAAGGAAGGUGUGUUCAAGUCAGGCAGCUUCUGAGAGGAUGAAGUCAUUAAGAAUUAGGCGGAGGGUUUUGGAAGAGUUGGAAGCUUGGAAGGCCGUGAAUGCAGUAGCUAGUUGUCUGGAAAAUUCGAAGGACUUGGAGCCCAAGAAUGUUCCCCAAAAUUGUUGCUUUGGACUUGAGCUAAAAGGAGUUGCGUCCGAGGAGUAGGCGGCAGUUGGCAGCCGACCAGGUGCCACGCAGAAGUGCCUUGAGGAUCUAGGAAGGAGCGGCAGCCAGGAGCCAGGAGCCGGCAGCCAGUGCGAAGCUAGGCCAGCGCAGCGAGCGGUGAAGAUAGGAGAGUCCGGGAGCCAGAGCCGUGUGGUAGCCAGAAGGAAGGAGCCGCGCCGCGGUGGAGGUGAAGCUAGGCGAGGACCCAGGAAGGAGCAGCCAGUGCGGUGUCGGUGAUGGUGACGAAGCUAGCGGGCGGCUUGGCUUGGCGACCCCGGCGGCGGCGGCGGCCAGCGGGCGUUUGGAGCUAGCUAGAGCAUCCUAGAGCAGCCCCCCCAGUCUGCGAGGCCACAGGGAGAGCCAGUGGUGUGGUAACGACCCCGUGAGGCCGGCUGUUGGUUUGUUUGUAAUGGCGUAUGGUAACCUUUUCUACUUUAAUGGUAAUGGGGGACUGGGGUGUAGGCCGAUUUCCGGUUCCGGUGUUACAGGUUUCUCUUUUUCAGGCUUGUUUUCUCAUGCGUCUUGUCUGAAGCUUUUGAGGGCAGACUUCCAAGGCCUGGAGGAAUGGUAGAUGGCAAGUUAUUUUUUCCCCCCUAAAACUAAUUUGAGGAAAACCAAACGAGUUUGAUAGAACUGAAAAAUUGCCUUUCCAAAGCAGUUAGUUUGGGCAUUGAAGUAUUUUAGCUUUGUCAACAGAUGACUUGUUUUUCUACUUUUCACCCUGAAUUAAGGUUUAAAUAUGUAGUUGGAUGUGUAAUUAGGGAUUGUUUUGGGGGGCAAAAUAUGUUUUGAGUUCUUCUCCCCUUAGGUCUCUAGAAUCCCAAAGGCAAAUGACCGAUUCAAGGUAACAGCAAAAAGAAAAUCCAGUAUCAGGAUAAUCAGCACCACAGGUUUACAGUUUCUAGAAACUAGAGCACGAAGCAGCUUGCUUUGAGGUCUGUGGAGGAGCUGGUCAAUGGAGAAAUGGCUGGUAGCUAAUUCUUUUUUCCACCCCUUAACCAGAUUUUAAAAAGCUCAUAACUGUUAAAGCUGGUUAUUUUACUUGGAAGUAUUUCGGGGUGGUCUACACAGGGAAAGGGGGGAGAAAUGUUUUUUUCUAAGAUUUUCCACAGAUAGAGCACUAUGGAAAACUGGGUUAGAGAAGGAUUGUACUGCUAUGCUGUUGGCACGAACACCUUCAGGGAUUGGAGCUGCUUUACUCCUUGGAAGAGUAUUCCCAGUUGAAGCUGAAAUGUACAGCACAGUGCAGCUUUGGUUCAUAAUCUGUCACCUCAGGAGAACAUCAGAAGCGGUUGACUAGGCCAAGUUAAGUUUUAAAAUGUGUGACCUUAAAAAUACCUUUUAUUGAAGGGGAGGGGCAAAAUUGGUGAUUAGUUGUCAGUGAUCUGUUACGGUUGGGAUUGGGGAGGGGGGUUGGGUUUUAGGUAAUUGUUUAGUUUAUGAUUUCAGGUAACUCAUGCCAGAGAACUUAAAUACUUAGGAUGGAAAAACUAAAGAAAUCUCAACUUCAAAGUUGGCAAGUAACUCCCAAUCGUAGGCACCCCACCACCACCCAGUUUUGAAUUGGGCGGCUGGGAAGAUUUGUGAAGAUUCACUGGAUUCAAAGUUCAGCAGGACUUGGGGGUUGGAUUCACCCCAACUGGGCUCUUAACCAAAAUCUUGGGAAGAUUUUUUUAAUGUUAUAAAAGUUGUCGGAUAUGGUAGUGUGUGGUUCUCUUUUGGAAUUUUUUUCAGGUGAUUUAAUAUAAACUUAAUACUAUAGGAGCUUCAGAGCAAAAGGAGUGGCUUAAUGAUCCUGAAGGGAUUUCUGCUGAUGGUAGCUUUUAUAUUAUCAAGUAAGAUCUACUUUUAGUCACGUUAUAAGCAAGUUUUUGUUUCUCAGUGUAGGAAGUCUUGUAUCAUUUCAAAGCAAGAGGUUAAGGUAUGCUUCAAAAUGAUUGUGAACUGUAUAUUUUUAAAAUUGCGCUUAACUAUAUGUAAACUGUUACUGACAGGGUGGGCAUUUGUUGAUGGGGAGGGGAGGAAACUUUUUUUCUGUAGACUUUUUUCAGAUUACAUCUUCUGAGUCAUAACCAGCCUGGCAAUAUGAUGGCCUAGAAGGAGAGGGAACAGCUCCUUGGUGAAUGAUAAGUAAAAGGCAGAAAGAUUUUAUUUCAUAUCUCCAUUGGGGAAAAGGCAUAACCCUGAGAUCCUUACUCUACUGAUGAACAUUGUUGUCUACAUAUGCCAAAAAAAAAGCAAACAAGAUCUACCAAUUAAAAAAAGUUAUUGGAAUCUACUAUAAAUUUAUGGUUUAUCAAGCUAUAACCACAAAAUAAGGAAUUGAUGAGAAUGUAAUGAAUUUAAGAAUAAAGAGUUGAUGAGAAAUAAUGAUGAAAUAAAAUAACAAAGUGAUGAGAAAUAACAAUGAAGAUCACAUGUUCAUCUCUACUGCUUUUACAAAAGCAGAAUAAAAAGCGAAAUGAAAUGAAAAUACUACAUUAAUCUCGGAGUAAAAGAAGCUGAAAUAAUUCAGAUAAAUGGGAUCGAGUGGAUUGAAAAGGAGGCUGUGCUGUUUGCCAAUCUUUCGUUUGCCUCAGACAGGUUUCUCUUAUCAGAAGAGUUGCUUCAUUUCAUCUGGGAGCAGAAAACAGCAGGCAGCUGUUAACAGAUAAGUUUAACUUGCAUCUGCAGUAUUGCAUGUUAGGGAUAAGUGUUUCUUUUUAAAAACUGGAAGUUUUAAAAGUAUUUGAAUUUGGCCAUUUUUCCUGAUCCUUAAGGAUUUCAGGAUUGUGAAGAAUUUUCCCAUCCAGCCUUUAAAAAAGUAAACAGAAUUUGUGCCUCAUUUGGGCUUACAUGAUGGGAUAAGACUCAUCCAGAGGCAGAUAAUUAGAAAUCCAUGGAGAUUAAUUAGUACCGUAAAAGGUACCUGAAAAUCUGAAAAAUAAUAAUAAGAAAUAAAUAGCAUUGAAUCUAAAAACUAGUAUGUUAGGAUAAAAUGUUAAAUCUUAAGUAAAAUUUUAAUGUGUUGUGAUGUAUAUUGUGCAGAAAAAAACCAUUAAAUCAUUCCAAAAAAUAAACCAUAUUAGAGAAUGUAUGCUUUCAGAAAGGUGUCUCCUUAUUUAAAUAAAAUAUUGUUUGUCUGUAGUUAGUGUUGGGCAAUCUUGGGGGGAUUCUUCUCUAAUCUUUCAGAAACUUCGCGCACUUAAAUGGACAAGAUCAGGAAUUGAGCAGAAGAACGAAUUUUACUUUUAAGGCAGGAAAGACAAAUUUUUUUAUCCUUCAUAAAUUGAUGAGCAUUUAAUAAUUCCAGGCACAUGGCAAUAGAGAACCCUCUAAAUAAGGAAUUAAAUACCUCUUAGACAGGUGGGAGAUUAUGAUCAGAGUAACAAAACAGGUAACUACACCUACACUUGUUUCCAGAAAGCUAGGGGCAUAUAAUUUGAUAUUUGCAUGCUAAUUUUAAAUGCUUAAAAUCUCUCACCUAGUGUCAGCCAGUGCUUACAAAUUACUGGCAUCUUACACAGGCACUUGUAAGGGGAGGGCAUGUGGGGUUUUUAAAGAAUUUUCCUUUCCAGAGGCUUCAUUUCAUCCUUCAUUGAAGCAGUUCAGGAUUUUGACUUGGCUCUGCCUUCUCUACUAGUGAGAUUUGCAGUGAGUUUAUCAGCAACACAUUUUUUAAAAACCUGAUUUUUUUGGAGGGAAGGGAGGAGGGGUGGGGCUUACUUGUUUAGCUUUUUUUUUACAGACUACACAGAAUGCAGUUGUCUUGAACUCAGGUCUGUCUGUUCUGUUGGCAAGUAAUCAGUACUGUUCUGACCCGCUGCUAUUAGAAUGCAUUUUGAAACGACUGGAGUAUGAGUCAAAGUUGUGUUUCCUAAUGCUUGGAGUAGUGAUUGUUGAAGGAAAACCCAGCUGAGUGAUAUAAAGGCUGAGUGUUGAGGAAAUUUCUGCAGCUUUAAGCAUUGAUGUUUGUGAGUGAAGUCAAAGUACCUUUUGCUGUGCUUCUUUAGGUAAAAAUGCUUUUUGUUCACUUCUGGUAAGGGGGUGGGGAGGGCAUUGAAGCCUUUAGUCUUUUUCAGAUGCAACUUUAAAAUCAGUUGACAAGAAAUAAAUUCCACACAAGCAGCAGUCUUCAGGAAGUGUAACUGGCAAGUGGAAAUGACUUGACAACAGUUCAGUGGUUUUAGUGCAUUGUUUUUGUGCGGGUUUCUCUCUCCCCUCCCUUGGUCUUAAUUCUUACAUGCAGGAACAUUCAAAACAGCAGACGUAUGCGAAGGGCCAGAGAAGCCAGACCCAGUAAGGAAAAUAGCUUGCUUAUUUUACAUAAACAAACCAGAUAUUCCAUUUUGAAUGUGGGGAUUGGGAACCACUAGUUCUUUCAGAUGAUACUCUGCAGACUAGAUGGAGCUUCCAGUUGAAUUUCACCAUUGGACAAAAUGAGGACAACAGGUGAACAGCUUUUUCUGCAUUUACAUACCAAGUCAAAGAAAUGUUAGACUUUCAGCUUAAUGCUGUAGUCCAUAGCAUGUGAGCAAGUGUUUGACCUGGGGUGGAGGGGUGAGGUGGGCGCUAAGCCUGUUCUUAAGAUUUUCCAGGUAUCCCUCACUAAAGGCACCGAAGGCUUAAAGUAGGACAACCAUGGAGCCUUCUUCCUGUGGCAAGAGAGACAACAAAGCGCUAUUAUACUCAGGUCAAUCUGAAUGGUGUCAGCCUCCAGGAUUUGCCUAACCAUGCAUUGAGGCUCACUAACUUGGGAGUGGCACCAAAGGAAUGCGUUAAUAACGUCGUAUGCUCCCGGGCUCGUCCUAAUAUUUUCCGAAGCUGUUUUUAAAGCAGCUCUUAGAGCUCAAGUGAUGCUUGAGGGGAGGGAAAGCGGGCAACCACUUUUCCCUAGCUUUUCCAGAAACCUGUUAAAAGCAAGGUCUCCCCACAAGCGACUUCUCUGCCACAUCGCCACCCCCUGCCUUUGGUGUAGCACAGACCCUUCACCCCUCACAUCGAUGCUGCCAGUAACUUGGAUCCCUUUGGGCACGAUCCAUAAUCGUUUGCAAGGUAACAGUGGUGCCAAGGUCUGGUGGGUUGCACUACUUAGGAAAGGCAGUUUGCAGGUUAACGUUAAGACUGCAACCAAAAACUCUUAAGAUGUUUAAAAUAUAGCACUAGUAUGCCAUGAUUUAAAACCGCCAGUAAAUGGAAAAAUAAAAACAUGAAAGAACUGUAAUGUUGGGUGGGAAAGUAAAAAGCUAGAGAUGUUAGGUAUUUUAGUGGUUGAGGACUGUUUGGGGGGGUUGCAAAAUUCUCUGCUAAGACUUUUUCAGGUGAACAUAACAGACUUGGCCAAGCUAGCAUCUUAGCUGAAGCAGAUUCUCCAGUGCUCUUCAGUAGGGCUACUAAGGUUUUGCUUUUUGGCCUUUUUCUAACUUAAAAAAAAAAAAAGCAAAAGAUGCUGGUGGUUGGCACUCCUGGUUUCCAGGACAGGGUUCAAGUCCCUGCGGUGUCUUUGCUUGACAUAGCCUCUGUCUUGAAACUCUUGUCGUCUCGUGUCCCUGCUUCACUGUGGAGUUGGGAGGAAGAAAGGAAUUUAAAUGGGAUUUGUGAGAAGCCUAGUAAUUGUAUCUCUGAACAUGUAUAAACUUACCUUUAAUUUUCAGGUAUUCGUAUGUAUCUUAGCAUUUUGAGAAUCCUCCUAAAAAUUAACAAUACUAAUAAAAAUUUAAGUUAACUCA